GGGGGGCGGGGGGGCAGUACCACCACCACUGACUCCUGAGUACCAUCACCUCAAUUUGGAGUAUCUUUAUCAUAGUUUUACUUCUAAGUGUGACGCGAUUCCCGUUUAGUGACUUACUGUGUUUGUAUUUAUUUGAACCGAGCCGCGAGACUUUGUACCUCGACCAGUCAAAGAGCUACUAUAUGUGUAUGGCUUGGUUUAGUUAAACCACUGGUUUAGCUAACCACCAGGUAACCACUGGGUUAACUAGCCACUGGUCUAGCUAACCACUGGUUUAGCUAACCACUGGUCUAGCUAACCACUGGUCUACCAACUGCUUUAGCUAACCACUGGGUUAGCUAACAUCAGCGCGGCGGUGAGGCUAACUCCCGUUGUGGUCGUCAUGCCGACGGUCUGACCGCUGCUGGAGGAACCAACGCCUGCUCGUGUUGGAGCGACCGGUGGACGUGUGCCAUGCUGCUGCUUACUGCUCCUUUAAUCAACGCUUCGUAGCGCGCCGACGCAGACCGCAAGGAACAUGAUUCUGAAGUAGGCGUGGGUGUGCACUGUGCUGCUUCUGAAAACAUCAUCACACCUCCGAUGUCAUAUCCGACUGUUUAACCUCCCUCCCAUCACCUCAUGUUCCAGCCAGAGGAGCAGUCACCACUAAAGCACGACAUCAUCGGACUUCAGCUCACAGCGCGGUUCUGAACGCUACACACUCUGACCUCAUGGGAGAAAACGGGCGAACCCUGGAGAGGUUGUAAUCUGAGGGAUUUUCUAAACUUCAUGGAAAUUAAGCAAGGGGAGACUGGGAGAGGAAGGGAUAGGCAGUAGGUGUGUGUGUGAGCUGUAGGUUCUCGUGCAGUAGGUGUGUGUGUGUGAGCGGUGGGUUCUCGUGCAGUAGGUGUGUGUGUGAGCUGUCUGUUCUCUUGAGGUAGGUGUGUGUGUGAGUGUCGGUCCUCGAGCAGUAGGUGUGUGGUGUGUGUGUGUGAGUGGUCGGUUCUCGAGCAGUAGGUGUGUGGUGUGUGUGUGUGAGCGUCGGUUCUCGAGCAGUAGGUGUGUGGUGUGUGUGUGUGUGUGUGAGCUGUCGGUUCUUGUAGAAGGCAUUAAUGUUUCGUCUCUGGCUUAGUAUUUGCAUAUCUUCACAGAAGCUCAUCUGCAUAUCAGUCUUAUUUCCUCCCUUUCCUCCAUGUGGGAGCAUGAAUAUUAAUACGGACACAAAGAACACUUUAUUCGUUUUACUUUUAUCAACAGUUGGAUGAUAAUAAUAGCUCAACAUGAAACAAAUUAUAUAUAGUUUGAAUAUAAAGGACCGGGGAGGGGUUGUAUAAGAGGAGAAUGCAGAAACAAUUCACUGAUUUAGUGUCUAGAUAAAGAGAGAAACUCCUUCAGUACUAACACACCAUGGAUUCAUUAUUUAUUUUUUUGCAGCAUAUUGGUGGUUCAAAAUAUGUCUAACCCAUCUGCUCCUGAAU
ensembl:lncRNA